rnacentral:lncRNA from 1 species
GUAAAACUACAGUUGGAGUGAUGCAAUCUUACAGAGACUAACACAAAAAGCCGCAGCUUUUAUAUUUCCCAAGGGGUCACUUGAGAAGAGAGCCAGUGGACAUCAGCUUACAAGCCAAAUUCAGCUUGCAAACUGGUUCUGUCCAGCCCUUGAGCUAAGAAUGGUUUUCAUACUUUUGAAGGGAUGAAAACACACACAUAUACAAGGAAUAUGUGACCAAGGCAGAGGCCACGUGUAACCAGAAACCUAAACUAUUUACUGUCUGGUGCUUUCCAAAAACAAGUGCUGAGCCUUGGCUAAGACACAGUACUCUGAAAUAACUGCGUAUUUCAUUCCAGGUGAUGCUUCAGUGCCAUGGGUCUGCCUGUCCAACCCACCAACAUUCGGGCUGCUCUCCCUCCUCCCACCUGGCGCUUCCACGCCUCAGCCUUCUUGGCACCUCUUCUGUCCGUCUCCAAGUCAAACGGCUCAGGCUGGGUCACGUCCUUUACCUUCUUCUCUGGCAGGUUAAUGCUAUCAAAAUGAGGCUUCUGACAGCCAGCAGGAUUUAG